rnacentral:rRNA from 1 species
AGUGAACGCUGGCGGUAGGCCUAACACAUGCAAGUCGAACGGCAGCACAGUAAGGGCUUGCUCUUACGGGUGGCGAGUGGCGGACGGGUGAGGAAUACAUCGGAAUCUACUUUUUCGUGGGGGAUAACGUAGGGAAACUUACGCUAAUACCGCAUACGACCUACGGGUGAAAGCAGGGGAUCUUCGGACCUUGCGCGAUCGAAUGAGCCGAUGUCGGAUUAGCUAGUUGGCGGGGUAAAGGCCCACCAAGGCGACGAUCCGUAGCUGGUCUGAGAGGAUGAUCAGCCACACUGGAACUGAGACACGGUCCAGACUCCUACGGGAGGCAGCAGUGGGGAAUAUUGGACAAAGGGCGCAAGCCUGAUCCAGCCAUACCGCGUGGGUGAAGAAGGCCUUCGGGUUGUAAAGCCCUUUUGUUGGGAAAGAAAAGCAGCAGGUUAAUACCCCGCUGUUCUGACGGUACCCAAAGAAUAAGCACCGGCUAACUUCGUG